GGAGAGAAAUAACUUCGGGAAACUGAAGAUAAUUCCUCAUAAUUGAAAAUGCUUGGAACGGUUUUUCAAUAAAAGAACAUUUCAAACGGGAAAUGUAUCGCCGCAGGAUAGGAUCGCGUCCGAUUAUGGCAGUUGGUGAGGUAAUGGCUCACCAAACCUAUUAUCGGUAAGGGCCGUGAGAGCGGAAGCCCUGAGAUGGGUACUGAGACAAUGACCCAGGUCUUACGAGACGCAGCAGGCGCGAAACCUUCACAAUGCACGAAAGUGAGAUGAGGUUACCCGGAGUGCUACAAAGUAGCUGUGGCAGGUGAGUAAGAUUCCCUGCUAGGAAGGAGAGGGCAAGGCUGGUGCCAGCCGCCGCGGUAAAACCAGCUCUUCAAGUGGUCGGGAUUAUUAUUGGGCUUAAAGUGUUCGUAGCCUGUUUAGUAAGUUCCUGGUUAAAUCGGAUAGCUUAACUAUCUGUCUGCUAGGAAUACUACUAUACUAGGGGGCGGGAGAGGUCUGAGGUACUCCAGGGGUAGCGGUGAAAUGCUAUAAUCCUUGGGGGACCACCAGUGGCGAAGGCGUCAGACUGGAACGCGCCCCGAC
rnacentral:rRNA from 1 species